AAGACGUGGUUAGUCGUGGCGGUUUCAUGAAGAGCAGAACACCCUUCACUUUAUCUACCACGGCCUAUUUUCCCAGUCUUACAUCCUUCUGCAAAAAUACAUGGGUCCCAAUUUUCCCAAAUCGUGGCUCCAUAGACAUCUAUUUGCAAGGACAAUGCCUCUUGGACAACAAAGUCUGGGUCCUGUGGCAUCUUGUGAUUUCUAGGGGGCAGGCAUAGAUGUCAGGGUGGGGGGAUUACCCAUCAGCUGGUAGAAGCCCAUGCACGAUCCAAGGCUAUGCCAGGGAGGUGAUUGUGCUGGAUAUCUCUCGACCUGACAGCCCAAUACAGGUGUGAAGACCUUAUAGAUCAGAGGGCUACCAACCCAGGUGACAGGAUCAGGAGAAUUUUGGUGGCGUUACAAACACCUCACAGAAUGGUCCCCCAGGGCAUUAGUCCAGCUGAGAGACAGCAUCUUGUGUAGUGGCACAGCUGCUAGGAAAUCAGAAGUCGGUCUUUAUGUUUCAGUCUGAUUUCAGUCUUUCAAUGGCCACUUUAUCCUACAGAAGAUACAGCAGAUGGAAGACUGGAGAUGUCAUGAUGCCCUGCCAUGUCAUGACCGUGAUGUGGGAAUGGUUUUUGGUCAGAAGCAGUUACUAAAGGAAUCUUCAAGUGAGAUGCCAUUACCAACUACGUUAUACCAGAGUCACUAAAAGAGUCAUGUCUUUGGGUUGCUUCCUUGGCUGGAGAUCAGAGUUGGUCUGGAAAUCUGCCUACCCCAACCGCCUGGAGUCCAGUCCAGUCUUUCCAGGUUAGGACAUUUGAAUGGAUUUCUCUUCGUCGACUCUCUGAUUUUUUCUGAUUCAGAGAGACAGAGAACUCCCUUGCCAGCCUCAGUCAUCUCCUACAAAGUGAUGCCAACAUGAGCCCUGAGAUGGAAGGAGGGGCCGUCCCUGUGGACCAGAGUGGGGAAGGGUGACUUGCUGUAAAGCUCGGAGCUUGAGAGUGUCUGAGGAAUGACAUGUUCUGAGAGGCUGAGAAGAGAGGAGAGGGCAUUUCGGGUUCGAGAAAUGGCCAAAGUUGGGAGGCAGGAACCCAUGGUUGGAGAUCUCAAGCUGUCUGGAGGGGAGCGUUCAUGGGUGCGCAAUCAGAGAACAGACCAGAGCAAAAGAGAGUGGCUGGACUCAGAUGCGCCAAUGCUGCCUGAGAAGAGACUUUCUCUUUGCGGUGAUGGGAGGAGGUUGAAUGUUUUUGACACCAGAGUGACAGCAUCACACAAUAUAAAGAUACUCUAGGAAGAUCUGUCUUGGAAGGGGGUGAAGGACAGAUGUACUCCAUCCUCCGAAAGCUAUACAGAAAUUCAGUCAAGCUGCUUGCCACCUUAGGACACACAUCCAUCUACAUGUCUUCUUCCUUCCAGAUGAUCCUUGCAGUUUGAAGACCUGACCCCUGGCAUCUUUAUUGCUCAGUUGUCCUGACCCCUUUCCUGUUCCCUGACCCUAGCGCUGGAGGAUUGCUGGGUGUACACUGGAUGCAGCAGCUGUCCUGAAGCCUGGGAGCAACCUGAGGGCGGCGCCUUGGCUUCCCUGCCUCUAUCAGCAGGGGCGUGAGUAUCUGGGUAUGCCUUACAAGAUUGAAUCCAGUGACGAAGAGACGUCCUCAAAAGGAUCUCAGGUAUGUUAGGAAGGGGGAAGGAUGCCAGGCCAUCCGGACGCUUACUCUGUGGGGCACUGAGUCGAUUCCGACAGAGCCCCUCCCUGUCCUUAUGGGGUGCAUAGUCAUGUUGGGAAGACAGCCACGGAAAUGGGCAAGGUGCCUGGGGCUUGAUGGAGGGACACGCUGGGCUGUAGGAGCACAGAGGAGAGGCUCUCCCCAGCUCUGAUGGGAGGACAAUGGGGCAGAGGUUAGGAAGGACUGGUCUCUAGAUGACACCACCUCUUGGGAUGAGAGGGAAUUCCACGCCGCACAAACGUCCAUUUGUACAGAUUUUCUGUCCUUCUUCCAAAAAGCUGUUGAGUUUUGGCAAGUUAGGGCUCCCAGGGGUUGUGAGAAUUGAGACAAGGCUCUGGAGCUGCUGUGGAGGACCGGGACCUAGCUCGACGCUCUGUGUUCUUGUGUUCGAUGCAGCUUCUCAGGAAGACCCUGGCCCCGCCGCAGGAUCAGGGUGAAGGUGACUGGCCCACCAGUCCAGUUGCAGUCCAUUUACCCUGCCCUUUCCUAUGGAAGCCGGGCUCCCCCAGACCCACAUUCACUCCAAGCACAUGCUACCUGUGGUCCCAGGAGGAACUCCCUCUAGUUCCUGCCCAACCCACCCUUGGCUCAGGUCCAUCUGCCCACCGUGGACAGAGGAAUAGAACCGAAGUGACUGACACUCAGGUGCCAUCCCGCCCAUCCUUCCCUUUCUCCCUCUAGGGGCACACUGCUUCUACCAUUGCGCUGCCUCCUGCACAAAGCAGGAACAAGAGGGUAUAUACACACUGCUGGGGUACCUCGUGAUUUUGUGGGCACGUACCUGAGCAUUGAAAGUGCCUAUCACGUCCUUCCUUCCUGUCCACCCCAUCUUUACAGACAUGUCGCUGUCACAUUGACUAGGUGGACAAGUCCAUCCAGGGGCAUCUGUAAUUGUGACAUUGCGAUGGGUUACGGUGGGAGGUUAUGUGGGCACAGGUGUGGUGAUGAGCAGUGGCUGAGGAGUGCAGAAACCAGGCUGGGAAGUGGGGGCACGGAGGGAGAAAGAGAGAGAGAGAGAGGAAGAGGAAGACAGGGAGGAGGAAGAGGAGAGGGAGGGAGGGGUUGGGGGCGGGCGCUUCAAUUUCUUCUUUCCAGUUUCUUGUGAACCCUGUAUUUAUGUCCUAUCCUUGGGUCCUUCCCAUCGCUAACAUCUUAUGACACCGGUGCUCCCAUCUCUCCUAUUAGGUUUAGUUUGACGAGUUCCUGUUUACCCAAAUGAAAAAGGAAUCCUUUACUAUUGUGCCCACCGGGAACGACGUUUGCCUACAGAUUUCUGUGUCUCCCUGCGGCGAGUGAGUUCCUGAAAUUCAUCACAAAUUAUCUAUUAAAAUAAUGAGACAGAUAUUGCUUUGGCUCGUAUAAAAGAUAAUGAAGGCGACUUGCUGAAAGAGAAUAAGGAAAUGAGAAUUUCAGCAGCUCUACGAGAUUCUCCUUUAAAAAAAUUAUUUUUAACAAAAAAUUCAAUUUACUUAAAAAUCUAGUGUCUACAAUCUGGCGUGUAACAUUGAUUAGGAUAAAAAGCACACAUACCAUUUGGCACAUACCAUUUGGCCCAGCACCAUGACUCCUGGGAGUCUAUCCCACAAGAGCAGCAGUUUGUAAGGGCUGAUGUACAGGGAUGUUUAUUGUAGCAUUGUUUGUAGCAUCAAAAAAUUAGGAAGAAAACUUCAGAUAAGAACUUCCUAAACUGCUCCUCUAUA